AUAUAUAUAGAAUUAGGCUACUGUACUAUCUAUAGUACCGGAGCUCCGUUACUAUAGUCUUGUUUUCGAUCUUAGGGUGUUCAAAUUAACGAUCCACACUGUUAAAUAUAAUCUAGGGUAUAUGAAGUUCUUAAAAAUAAAAUUUUAGGUUUUUUUCGACAUUGUUUCUUAGUAAAUUAGUUAUGUUAAAAUGGACGGUGAAAAUUGAAUAAUCUUUAAAAUUUGAGUAUAGAACUUUUAAAUUUAAGAUCAAGAAUGUUAACCUUAAUCUAGAUAGUUUAAAGUAUUUUCUAUCAAAAUUUAAAAAAAUUUAGAUUCUUUUACACCAUUAAACUCCAAACUCGCUAUAGUAGUCAUUGAAAAUUGACAAUUUUGAAAUGGUUUAAUCGUAAAGUAAACUAUGUCGAAAAACUAUAAAAUUUUAUUUCUAAAAACUUUAAAUACCCUAGAUCAGUUUUAACGGUGUGAAUCGUUGAUUUGAAUACCCUAAUAUCGAAAACGAGACUAUAGUACCGGAGACCAGGUACUACUAUAGAUAGUAUAGUAGAUUAGCGCUCUUUCUCUCUCUCUCUCUCUCUCUCUCUCUCUCUCUCUCUCUCUCUCUCUCUCUCUCUCUCUCUCUAUAUAUAUAUAU
rnacentral:lncRNA from 1 species